UACGUAGGGUGCAAGCGUUAAUCGGAAUUACUGGGCGUAAAGCGUGCGCAGGCGGUCGUUCAAGUCGAGUGUGAAAGCCCCCGGCUCAACUGGGGAGGGUCACUCGAUACUGAUCGACUUGAAGGCAGGAGAGGGAAGCGGAAUUCCCGGUGUAGUGGUGAAAUGCGUAGAUAUCGGGAGGAACACCAGUGGCGAAGGCGGCUUCCUGGCCUGCUCUUGACGCUGAGGCGCGAAAGCUAGGGUAGCAAACGGG
rnacentral:rRNA from 1 species